AUACGGAGGGUGCAAGCGUUAAUCGGAAUUACUGGGCGUAAAGAGUACGUAGGUGGUUCGUUAAGUCAGAUGUGAAAGCCCAGGGCUCAACCUUGGAACUGCAUUUGAAACUGGCGAACUAGAGUAUGGUAGAGGGGGGUAGAAUUCAUAGUGUCGCGGUGAAAUGCGUAGAUAUUAUGAGGAAUACCAGUGGCGAAGGCGGCCCCCUGGACCAAUACUGACACUGAGGUACGAAAGCGUGGGGAGCGAACAGGAUUAGAAACCCGGGUAGUCC
rnacentral:rRNA from 1 species